rnacentral:rRNA from 1 species
AUGAGUGCUUUUUCCUUUGUUGAUAUCUUGCUUGUUGAUUUUUGCCAACCUCGACAGCUACGAGGAGGAGCUUGCCGAGCGCGAGCAAGCACUUGGCGGGGCGCUCAAGGAAGCAAAGGACGCUGCCGCAACCACAGAGGCCGCCAAGAAAGAGCUGGAGGAGAAGGUGGCGCAGCUGGAGGCCAACAUCGGGAAGAGCGGCGAGGAGCUUGCCGCGCUCAAGCGUGA